rnacentral:rRNA from 1 species
UACGUAGGGGGCAAGCGUUGUCCGGAUUUAUUGGGCGUAAAGAGCGUGUAGGCGGCCAAGCAGGUCCGCUGUGAAAACUCGAGGCUCAACCUCGAGAGGUCGGUGGAAACCGUUUGGCUAGAGUCCGGAAGAGGAGAGUGGAAUUCCUGGUGUAGCGGUGAAAUGCGUAGAUAUCAGGAGGAACACCGGUGGUGUAGACGGCUUACUGGACCACGACUGACACUGAGGCACGAAAGCGUGGGUAGCAAACAGG